GCUUAGCAACCUGCUCGGGACCCCUCUCUGUGACUGUGAGCUGUUCUGUUCUUUUGCCUAUUAAACUCCUGCUCCAAACUCACUCGAUGUGUGUGUGCAUGUCCUUGACCUCAAUAUCUGGUCGUGUGACCAAGAACCUCAGUAUUCACCCCAGACAACAAGGCUGCUUCAUUUUGAGGGCUCGUCUGGGAUUUGAAGGUGACUUCAUCAGAAUGUCUCUGGCUGACAAACAAUUGCCUCCUCAAAUACCAAGCUUUGCUGCUAAAGGGAUCUGCAGUCCAGCUGAAAACCUGCCCUUGCCUGAGCCCAGCCACUUUCUCCCAGAGAAAACUGGAGAACCUAAACAUGAUUGUGAACAGGCGCAGUAAGAUUGAGGAGCUAAAAACAGACUUGGGUGGAUGUCUGCAGCUGCAAGAAGAUGUGUGGGAACAGACACAGAAACUCUCCCUCCCAGAUAAGCAAGACAAAGAAACACAGAAUAAGAGUCCAUCUAUGUGGUCAGAGAAUGGGAUAAGAGCUGAUUUAAAAAAACUCUGCUCUAUAUAGAAGGCACACCUGGUCCCAACCAAACCACUGGACCCUAGGAGGAUAAGACCUCCUCUGCUCAUGAGCCCCCUCCUCAGUAGCCCAUUUAUAAAAACCCUGACAAUUUUACUACCACUUGGCAACCCGCUCGGGACCCCUCUCUGUGAUGGAGAGCUGUUCUUUUCUUUUGCCUAUUAAACUCCUGCUCCAAACUCA
rnacentral:lncRNA from 1 species